GACGUAGGGCGCAAGCGUUGUCCGGAUUUAUUGGGCGUAAAGAGCUCGUAGGCGGCUUGUCGCGUCGACUGUGAAAACCCGCGGCUUAACUGUGGGACUGCAGUCGAUACGGGCUAGCUAGAGUUCGGUAGGGGAGACUGGAAUUCCUGGUGUAGCGGUGAAAUGCGCAGAUAUCAGGAGGAACACCUAUGGCGAAGGCAGCUCUCUGGGACGGUACUGACGCUGAGACGCGAAAGCGUGGGGAGCGAACAGG
rnacentral:rRNA from 1 species